UGAUCCUGGCUCAGGAUGAACGCUGGCGGCGUGCCUAACACAUGCAAGUCGAACGAAGCACCUUUUAAGAUUCUUCGGAUGAUUGAUUGGUGACUGAGUGGCGGACGGGUGAGUAACGCGUGGGUAACCUGCCCUGUACAGGGGGAUAACAGUUGGAAACGGCUGCUAAUACCGCAUAAGCGCACGAGAGGACAUCCUCUUGUGUGAAAAACUCCGGUGGUACAGGAUGGGCCCGCGUCUGAUUAGCUGGUUGGCAGGGUAACGGCCUACCAAGGCGACGAUCAGUAGCCGGUCUGAGAGGAUGAACGGCCACAUUGGAACUGAGACACGGUCCAAACUCCUACGGGAGGCAGCAGUGGGGAAUAUUGCACAAUGGGGGAAACCCUGAUGCAGCAACGCCGCGUGAGUGAAGAAGUAUUUCGGUAUGUAAAGCUCUAUCAGCAGGGAAGAUAAUGACGGUACCUGACUAAGAAGCUCCGGCUAAAUACGUGCCAGCAGCCGCGGUAAUACGUAUGGAGCAAGCGUUAUCCGGAUUUACUGGGUGUAAAGGGUGCGUAGGUGGCAGUGCAAGUCAGAUGUGAAAGGCCGGGGCUCAACCCCGGAGCUGCAUUUGAAACUGCGCGGCUAGAGUACAGGAGAGGCAGGCGGAAUUCCUAGUGUAGCGGUGAAAUGCGUAGAUAUUAGGAGGAACACCAGUGGCGAAGGCGGCCUGCUGGACUGUUACUGACACUGAGGCACGAAAGCGUGGGGAGCAAACAGGAUUAGAUACCCUGGUAGUCCACGCCGUAAACG
rnacentral:rRNA from 1 species